GGUGUGAAUCAUGGCAAUACAGUGAAAGACAGUGAUUUACUGCUUUUGAGGGCGUGCAUGUAUAUGAUUAACGGAUGGAAGUGCAGGACUCCAAGAUUUACUUCCUUCCCUUUCCAGCAGAAUUACCUGAGACGAGCAAAGGCACACAUUUUAAACGUUCAAGAAGAACAGCAGAAACAAGACAGGAUCAAAGCAAAAUACAAAGAAAACAAGAUUGGAGAAUCAGAGAAUCAAGAUCCAAGGAAAAAUGUUUACUUUGGCAGAAAUACCUAGAAAAUAUAGUGACUGCAGGCCUUGUUUCAAGUUCACAUAUUGAAUCUCAACAUGUUUACUUAUUUGCAAGUGUAAAAUCUACUGGUGGAGUCACUCCAUUAUUCUUAUCUGUGGAGAUCUAGAUCUUGAUUUGAAAGUUUCUGAGAAAAUCUUCAGCUCAGACUUGAGGGUCAACUUUACCAGCUGAAGUGACUACAUCCUGCCUGCUUUCAGCUCCAGUGGAAAAUGCAUUAAUCCCAGAGUCUCCGUGAGGUUUCCUGUUUGAUGACAUAAUCAGAAAAUCCUCCUCACAUUGCCCUUGGGGUUGCUGUCUGGAUGUUAUGUUGUCUUGGUGGGUGUAACUCAGCCAUCAAAAAAAUCAGCACAGGCCAUAAACUCAGGACCUGAAAUGCAUUAAUAUAAUGUUAAACGAAAUAACGCUGUGGGUAUGUCUGCAGCACUGGUAGGGAAUUUCAUUAAACUGCAGAUUCUCCCUGGCA
ensembl:lncRNA CASC15 cancer susceptibility 15